AUACGGAGGGUACAAACGUUAAUCGGAAUUACUGGGCGUAAAGCGCACGUAGGUGGUUUAUUAAGUGGGAUGUGAAAGCCCCGGGCUUAACCUGGGAACUGCAUUCCAAACUGAUGAACUAGAGUACGAUAGAGGGAGGUAGAAUUCAGAGUGUAGCGGUGAAAUGCGUAGAUAUUCUGAGGAAUACCAGUGGCGAAGGCGGCCUCCUGGAUUGAUACUGACACUGAGGUGCGAAAGCGUGGGGAGCAAACAGGAUUAGAUACCCCAGUAGUCC
rnacentral:rRNA from 1 species